UACGUAGGUGGCAAGCGUUGUCCGGAUUUACUGGGUGUAAAGGGCGUGCAGCCGGAGAGACAAGUCAGAUGUGAAAUCCACGGGCUCAACCCGUGAACUGCAUUUGAAACUGUUUCCCUUGAGUGUCGGAGAGGUCAUCGGAAUUCCUUGUGUAGCGGUGAAAUGCGUAGAUAUAAGGAAGAACACCAGUGGCGAAGGCGGUUUAUUGGACCACAACUGACGCUGAGACACGAAAGCGUGGGGAGCAAACAGG
rnacentral:rRNA from 1 species